rnacentral:tRNA from 1 species
GGCGGAAUAGGCAGACGCAAGGGACUUAAAAUCCCUCGGGGGCAACCCCGUGCCGGUUCAAGUCCGGCCACCA